rnacentral:tRNA from 1 species
AUUUCUGUUUGGAUUGCGGGCCCGCAAAUAACUUGGGUUUUGGGCGCCCAAACAGCCUUCGACGGGUUGGUUUUGCAUCUUGCGCAGAAUGGGUAUU